UGAAUAAUACAAACUAAAGUCAUCGGUAUCCGUUUCAGGAAACAAUCCUUAUGUUUGGAAGAGAGCGAAACACCGGCACCUAUCUAUGCAGUGGUGGUCAAGAAACGACGCACGAUUCCGCAAAAUAUUGAUAAUGAGUAUGACACAGUCGCUUCCAGUGUUGACUCGAAUGUACAUCCGAUGACUCAGCCUUCUCUCUAUGCGUCCAUCAAAUAACCUCUGUGUUUGUGUGGGUCUUCAACACAGCUUUGACAGCAGUACUCCCGGGCGCGGAACUUCUCCACUGCAGAAUUGAAAGCAAAACAUCCAAUCGGAUUUCGUUGUCCGUGCAGAGAGCUUCGGGUCAGAAAUAUGGACGCAGCGCGCUCGGCUUAGCAGUUGCAUAACCUCCAGGUGUGAUUGUGGAAGGCCGGUCGAUGAGAUCACAGCCCAAGCCAUCUAUGAACUGACGUGUUAUUUGCUUGUGUUAUUGCAAAUUGUCUUCGCCGAAGUUUUGACGCCAAUUUACGUAAGGACGUUUCCAUCCACAUCAUGCGGAGACUGGAUGAAAACGUGCAUUUAUUUCACACAGACCACAUUUAAUUGCAUUUUGCA